CGGGCAGCCGGGACCCCCGCGGGUAUUUGGGGCGCUUGGGGUCGCGCCCCCGCCGAACGAGGCCCAGGCCCAGACGGACGCGCGGGCAUCGGAUCGUCGACCCACCCGGUGCACCGUGGCCCCCGCAAGGCCUUCCCGCCGCGUGUGUCCGGCUCCGCGUGGCAGCCGGUGUGCGCGGGGUCCGGGGACAGUCAAGCAGCCUUUAAACCCAAACCCAGACAGGACCAUGAACCUCUCCAGUUUAAAGCCCAAAGGUGAGUUCCUGUUGCUCUUGGACCGAGUCCUGACUUGGUCCCGGGCCCACCUCCAGGGCCCAGCCUGCCGCUCCACUUCCCUCUCACUGCCCCCUCCCCAUCCUUUUGUGCUGGGCUCUCCCAACCGCUGAGCGCUGAGCGCCAGGCCUGGAGCACAGCAGUGAGGGGCCAGGCUUUGGGAUUUGAAUCAGGACUGUGUUAGCUGUGUGCCCACCCUCUCUGCAUCUCAGCUUCCCAGUCUAUGGGAAAAUAACACAAUUAUCCACUUCAG
ensembl:lncRNA